CAUUUUCAUGUAUAAUAUGUGAAAGUAUAGCUUACAAAACAAACAAUACUGACUUUUGAUGAGGUCUAAAAGCUUGAAAGGAAACAGAAAAUGAGGUAUCUCAGUUUAAACUGAGUCUAGUUUGUUUGUCUCUGCUCUGGUGUUAACUCUGACUGGGCUGGAGCAGACUGCUACAGGACAUAAACAGACACUCACUGGGCUGCUGCUGGACCACAAGAGGAGUUUCCAAGAUCUGACGCAGUAUGUAUUUCCGAGUGUUCACUCUAACGAAGAGAAGAAGAAGAGGUGUGCUGGGAACCUUCCUCCUCUCCUUCCUCUCCCUCCUCCUCCUCCUCUGUCCUACCAGGAAUGGGAUAGGAUCAACCCAGAUGAUUCAGAGGUCCCUAGCCUGGGCCUGGAAGGGCUUGGGCUGAGGAACACACCCUCUGCUGGAAACACAGAAAUAUGUAGCAAGACUCCUGAGCCUUUAUCCAUAGAGGAUGUGUGUCAACGCAACCCGUCAGGGGUGAUAGGUUGUGGAUAUAAGCUUUGGAGGAAUUAUGACGAGGAGACAGCCUAUUGAGUAUCUUCUUUUGAUGUGAUGGCCGCUAGGCUACACCAAUCACCAAUCACCAAUACCAUGAAUAAGAUAAAAGGAUUAUGAGAUUAUGUAUUAUUUUAGACCAGUUCACUUAGAGACCAGUUCACUGAGAGACCAGUUCACUUAGAGACCAGUUCACUUAGAGACUAGUUCACUUAGAGACCA